rnacentral:rRNA from 1 species
CCUACGGGUGGCAGCAGUGGGGAAUAUUGCACAAUGGGGGAAACCCUGAUGCAGCCACGCCGCGUGAGUGAAGAAGUAAUUCGGUAUGGAAAGCUCUAUCAGCAGGGAAGAAAAUGACGGUACCUGAGUAAGAAGCCCCGGCUAACUACGUGCAAGCAGCCGCGGUAAUACGUAGGGGGCAAGCGUUAUCCGGAUUUACUGGGUGUAAAGGGAGCGUAGACGGUGGUGCAAGUCUGGAGGGAAAGGCCGGGGCUCAACCCCCGGACUGCUUUGGAAACUGGCGGCCUGGAGUGCGGGAGAGGUAAGCGGAAUUCGUAGUGUAGCGGUGAAAUGCGUAGAUAUCAGGAAGAACACCAGUGGCGAAGGCGGCUUGCUGGACAGUAACUGACGUUGAGGCUCGAAAGCGUGGGGAGCAAACAGGAUUAGAUACCCCGGUAGUC